UUACAACAAUAAUGUCAUUUUUCCACUCAACUAAUUCUAGUUAAUUAAAUUAUAAUAGAUACCGCCACCAUCAAAGUCCGGUUUCCAGUUUGUUGCUGCAUAUAUUCUUUGUCAAUUACAUCAUAGGAAUGACAGAUGCUUCAACGUUUUAGUUUUUUCAAAUUCGUCUCUUGGAAUUCUACUUUUUACAUGGUUAAAAUGAGCAAAAUCAUUCAGCAAUCAAACAUAGAGAGUUUAAGAAGUGUCGGGUACGCGAAUUAGUUAGUGCUUGUGUUGUGUAAUUGACUAUAUUAUAUUAUAUUACAAAUAUUAUUGAACAUUAACGGGCCCCAACAGGCCUUCGGUACUUUUUAACGCAGUUUAAUAUGUACAGUACAGUAAUCAGUACAUAUUUCCGUCCUUUGAGUAACCAAAAACGUAGAAGAAACCUUGCUCAAAAUGUUCCAGAUUCCAGAGUUUACAUUGAAAAUUUCCAAUCUCUGGGACUCCUCCAGACAAGUGCGGCGCUCUUUUUGAAAAGUUUCCAGUAAGUUGUUUAAAUCGUUUUUCUUUGUUAUUAUGUCCACCUCAUUAUUAGUAAAUGUAUCCCUUAAA